rnacentral:rRNA from 1 species
UUCCGGUUGAUCCCGCCGGACCCCACUGCUAUCGAGAUGGGACUAAGGUAUGCUAGCCGAACGACCAGAACUAUGUCUGGGAGUGGCACACUGCUCAGUAACACGUAGCUAACCUACCCUUAGGACGUGGAUACCCCCGAGAAAUUGGGGUUAAUCCGCGAUAGAUGUAAUGUCCUGGAAUGGUAUUACGUCUAAAGGUAUUUCAUACAUGUUUGAAAUAUGCCUAAGGAUGGGGCUGCGGCCGAUCAGGCUGUUGGUGAGGUAAUGGCUCACCAAACCUUUGACCGGUACGGGCCAUGAGAGUGGUAGCCCGGAGAUGGACACUGAGACAAGGGUCCAGGCCCUAAGGGGCGCAGCAACCGCGAAACCUCCACAAUGCACUCACGCGCGAUGGGGCUAUCUCGAGUGCCACCUGAUGAAGGUGGCUUUUCCUUGGUCUUCAAAGCCUUGGGAAUAAGAGGGGGGCAAGACUGGUGUCAGCCGCCGCGGUAACACCAGCCCCUCGAGUGGUGGGGAUGAUUAUUUGGCCUAAAGCGUCCGUAGCCGGCCGUGAAAGUCUUCCGUUAAAUCCAGCGUCUCAAGCGUUGGACCGCGGGAGAUACUACAUGGCUAGAGAGUGGGAGAGGUCAGCGGUAUUCUGGGGGUAGGGGCGAAAUCCUUUGAUCCCCGGAGGACCACCAGUGGCGAAGGCUGCUGACUAGAACACGUCUGACGGUCAGGGACGAAAGCUGGGGUAGCGAACCGGAUUAGAUACCCGGGUAGUCCCAGCCGUAAACGAUGCAUGCUAGGUGUUGGGUUGGCCACGAGCCACCCCAGUGCCGCAGGGAAGCCGUUAAGCAUGCCGCCUGGGAAGUACGAUCGCAAGAUUGA